rnacentral:rRNA from 1 species
UACGUAGGGGGCAAGCGUUGUCCGGAAUUAUUGGGCGUAAAGAGCGUGUAGGCGGUCCGGUAAGUCAGCUGUGAAAGUCAAGGGCUCAACCCUUGAAUGCCGGUUGAUACUGUCGGGCUAGAGUCCGGAAGAGGCGAGUGGAAUUCCCGGUGUAGCGGUGAAAUGCGCAGAUAUCGGGAGGAACACCAAUGGCGAAGGCAGCUCGCUGGGACGGUACUGACGCUGAGACACGAAAGCGUGGGGAGCAAACAGG